AUAACUACUGGAAACGGUGGCUAAUACCGCAUAACGUCGCAAGACCAAAGAGGGGGACCUUCGGGCCUCUUGCCAUCAGAUGUGCCCAGAUGGGAUUAGCUAGUUGGUGAGGUAACGGCUCACCAAGUCGACGAUCCCUAGCUGGUCUGAGAGGAUGACCAGCCACACUGGAACUGAGACACGGUCCAGACUCCUACGGGAGGCAGCAGUGGGGAAUAUUGCACAAUGGGCGCAAGCCUGAUGCAGCCAUGCCGC
rnacentral:rRNA from 1 species